CUGGCCGUCUGCAGCGUGAGUGCAAGCAAUCUUAGGAAAGACCAUACAGCGUGAUACACUUCGUGUCUGGUGUCAAAAAUCUGCAUGUUAGUUACUGCAGUUGAACUACGAGUAGAGCUGGGCAAAAGUGCGCUAGACAGGCGGGAAUCCCACCCCUGGCCUGUCAUGGAGAGGGGGAACUAGCGACCAUCCCCGACAGGCUAGAAAAAAGCUGUGUGUGUGGGGACAGAGCACUUCACCCUCGUGUUGUGUUUGACCGGCUCAGUGGCGUCAUGCACAGACAGGCAGUCUUUGGAUGGCUACACAACAGGUGGGGAGGGAGCCCUGAGAGUGCUCUCACCUGACAGAGUGGCAUGCGGAGUGUAGGUCAUGCCCUCCCAUAAGUGAUUUGUUUACCUACGACCAAGGUGAAGGAGAGUGUGAGGUCUGUGGAUAAACACGCCGAAGGAGGAGGAUUUACCAUCGCUCACCGACUAGGAGACGGAGGAAGACAAAGGCGAUAAACUUGAGGCUAUUUUGGUGUAUGAUGACAUCAACAUCUUAUUGGCCUGAGCUUCUGUUAUGUCGUCUCUACUGUACGUCACUGUCAUCCGGCAUCGUCAUUCAUCAUCGUCGCCUCAUCCCUGUGUUGCCAAGGUUAUCUCGCCCUCAGGAUGCCUCGUGACAAAUGGAGAGCUGAGCAAGAUGAGUGUCAGCUGCCAGGGACAGGUGUCAGGAGCAGGAGGAAGGACAGAGCUAUUAGAGGGCAAUGUCAUUAACCACUGGAGUGACUUACUGGGUGCUGUAUGGCUGUCAAGGUAGCAGACUACAGUAAUGCUCUCUCUUUUACUGGAAACGACAACAUCCUGCGGCGGGCUGUGUGGUGACUGCUACAUGCUGGGAGAAGACUUAGAACACAGAUCAACUGCUAGACUGUAGAUCUGCAGGAACUGGACGCAGACUAACGAAGCAGAAACUGGUCAUUGGUGAGACAAGAAUAUCUAGCACGAUAUAACUUCCAGCUCAGCGAUGUAGCAGAAAAAGAGUAACGAAUGCUCAUCAAGCCAGGGACAAGGUGGUGACUGAAGUGUCUUAAUAUUCCUUCCAUCGAAAAGUGAUGUGUCGUGCAAGAAAUCAAAUGCAAUUAGGGAAGCAAAUUAAGGAGAGGAAAAUGAAAUUGUUCACCUCCUUACCAUGAUGGACAGACGACAAGGGCCAAACAUAAGGAUUUACACACUGCAAGCGUUGAACAAGGUUCGUUUUGCCCCGUGUGGUGUUGGAGCCAUAACAAGAAACAUCGGAGAACGCGCCAGCCUCAAGGUACUCCAAAGCUUCCUCGGCAAGACUCCUCUGCCUCAGGUCUUGUUGCGCCACUGAAUACAGUAUCAAUGAGACUAACAAGAACAGAAGACCGACUUGAAGAAAUAAGUUAUAAUUAAAGAUCUUUAUAAUGUGUAAUCUUUUGCUUUAAUAAAUUGAAAACAUCCCUAUUUCUUCUAAUACAUUUCAUAUAUAAGUUUUGUUGCAAUGAUAAAACUAAAUCAUUGAGAAUAGCUGCUUUAUAUCAACAUUGGAUAACAUGUCUGAAUAUAAUAGAAUAUUGAAACGCUGAAACAAAGCUAAAAAGUAAUGAGUCUGAAUAUUCUUUAGAAUUUUCAGGAGAGGCUAACUUGUGUACUUUAUAGAUAAACAAAUUUAUAAAUAC